AUUGUGCCAUGUGUAUGCGAAGUGUAUGUAGCAUUCAACUGAUUGUUCAGUGAAAUCACUCCAGUUAUUAUGCGAGUGAAACUACCGAACAAUCAGACCACCCCAGGAGUAAGUGUGCCUUCAAUUAGCGUUCGCAACAAUGUUGCAAACGGGUAAUUGGCAAUUCAUGUAGUGUGUUCUUUGUCCUCUGGGUGGCCGCCAUUCGGGAGAUGAACACGUGGCGGCGGCCAUUUUAAACUCCCGAACAGCUGUAUUGUGCCGUCGAGUGUCUGGAACCCAAAUCGGACAUUCUGUUAGGCAAACACCGCUGAGACCUCCACACUGCCGCCAAUUUGUGCAAAAACUACC